rnacentral:rRNA from 1 species
GACGAACGCUGGCGGCGUGCUUAACACAUGCAAGUCGAACGAUGAAGCCCAGCUUGCUGGGUGGAUUAGUGGCGAACGGGUGAGUAACACGUGAGUAACCUGCCCUGGACUCUGGGAUAACCCCGAGAAAUCGGAGCUAAUACCGGAUAGGACCUUUCCUCGCAUGAGGUUUGGUGGAAAGUUUUUCGGUUUGGGAUGGACUCGCGGCCUAUCAGCUUGUUGGUGAGGUAAUGGCUCACCAAGGCGUCGACGGGUAGCCGGCCUGAGAGGGUGACCGGCCACACUGGGACUGAGACACGUCCCAGACUCCUACGGGAGGCAGCAGUGGGAAUAUUGCACAAUGGGCGCAAGCCUGAUGCAGCAACGCCGCGUGCGGGAUGACGGCCUUCGGGUUGUAAACCGCUUUUAGUAGGGAAGAAGCCUUCGGGUGACGGUACCUGCAGAGAAAGGACCGGCUAACUACGUGCCAGCCGCCGCAGUAAUAC